GAUGAACGCUGGCUGUGUGCCUAAUACAUGCAUGUCGAGCGAAGCACUUUUGUGCUUAGCGGCGAAUGGGUGAGUAACACGUACUUAACCUACCCUCAAGAUUGGGACAACACUUGGAAACGAGUGCUAAUACCAAAUACGUAUUUUUAUCGCAUGAUAGAUAUAUAAAAGGAGCUUCGGCUUCACUAGAGGAUGGGAGUGCGCUACAUUAGUUAGUUGGUAGGGUAAUGGCCUACCAAGACUAUGAUGUAUAGCGGGGCCGAGAGGCUGAUCCGCCACACUGGGACUGAGAUACGGCCCAGACUCCUACGGGAGGCAGCAGUAGGGAAUUUUCCACAAUGAACGAAAGUUUGAUGGAGCGACACAGCGUGCAGGAUGAAGGUCUUCGGAUUGUAAACUGCUGUUAUAAGAGAAGAAAAACCCUGGUAGGUAAUGACCAGGACUUGACGGUACCUUAUCAGAAAGCGACGGCUAACUAUGUGCCAGCAGCCGCGGUAAUACAUAGGUCGCAAGCGUUAUCCGGAAUUAUUGGGCGUAAAGAGUUCGUAGGUGGUUUUGUAAGUCUGAAGUUAAAUACCGGGGCUCAACCCCGGCCCGCUUUGGAUACUGCAAAACUAGAGUAAUAGAGAGGUUAGUGGAACUCCAAGUGAAGCGGUGGAAUGCGUAGAUAUUUGGAAGAACGCCAAUGGCGAAGGCAACUAACUGGAUAUUAACUGACACUGAGGAACGAAAGCGUGGGUAGCAAACAGG
rnacentral:rRNA from 1 species